UGAAACUCUGACCUGAGGAACAGGGACUGGGCAAGAAACUGAAACAAAACAUCUUGGUCAGGGCCAUGCCCAGGGUCACUUUUCAAGUACAACCCAGAGUCAAACCCAAGCUUGUGAUCAGCUCCAGAAAAAGACUCAGUUCUCUGGGAAUGGAAAGCUGGAGGAGACCCCCAGGUCUCUGAAGGGAAGGUGGCCCAGAGAAGGUGGGUUGUGAAUGGCUAUUGCUGGGCACAGCUUCCCUCCCCAGGGUCCAGCCCCUCUAGCCCUCCCUCAAGGUCUUUUGAUUUGUCCUUCAUACAGUUGUAGGUGAGGAGCUGAUGAAGGCUCCUGGAGAUGGGCUGGGAAGGGAGUCACAGCCUGACAACCAGAUGUAACCCCAAUCUGUGAGCCCAAGUAGGGGGGGCCCUGAGGGCAGGAGCACAGGGGCUAGAAGAGGGACCAGGGUAAGUAAGCUACAUCUGGGCUCUUCUUUAGGGCUGGAAAACUUAGUGCUUCCAAAGUGCCCACCUGGAAAGGGGUUUUGUGCUUGCAGGCUACAUUCUAGGUCUGUGACUGAGCCUUAGAGGUUUCUAUCUCUGGGGUUCCCUGGGAAAGAGAUGGAGGUGGGUAAUCAGGUGUGGCAGUCAUUCCUCAAUCCUGAUUUUAGUUUGAGAGGAAAGGCCAUGACCUCAUUUUCAGAGGAAAAGAUUGAGGCCUGAGGGGUGGGCCUUGCUCAAGGUUGCACAGCCAAGAG
rnacentral:lncRNA from 1 species